UACGUAGGGUGCGAGCGUUAAUCGGAAUACUGGGCGUAAAGCGUGCGCAGGCGGUUUUGUAAGUCUGUCGUGAAAGCCCCGGGCUCAACCUGGGAAUUGCGAUGGAGACUGCAAGGCUUGAAUCUGGCAGAGGGGGGUAGAAUUCCGGACGUGUAAGCUAGUGAAAUGCGUAGGGAUAGUGGAGGAACACCGAUGGGCGAAGGCAG
rnacentral:rRNA from 1 species